rnacentral:lncRNA from 1 species
UUUGUGUUUCUGAAGAGGUGAUUGGUCCUUUGUGAAUGUCUGCAGCUGUCAGUUUUAUAAGAGCGGCUUUGGUAAAGUUAAAUUAGCUUAAAGUGACAGCGUCUCUCAGACACCCUCCAGCUACUGUCUGUGUCCAAAUCAGAAGCAGUGUGGGCUGUUUCUAGACAGAAUUACACAGAAGGCCAAACUGCACUUGAGAAAGUUUGUCUGAAGUGUCAGGUGAUACACACACUUUGAGGGGGAGCGAGUGUUUAGAUCUCUUGUUUCACUGUUGUACAAACUGUUGCAAUUUAAGCAUCAGCUCUUAAAGCCUUUUGAAAGUGAUGAGUGAUGCCAGAGGGGGUAUAUUUGAUCUGCUGCCCUGUUAAUCAUUUGCUCUAUGCAGUGUAUGCAUGGCUCCGUGAUAAAGGCAACUCUGCACCUUGUACUGUGGAUCUUGUUUGGUUGCAUACAUUUAGAGUAUGUUUACUGUGUAACAGUGGGCACCAAAGUCUGCGACCACAUUAAAAAUACUUGUUUUUUUUUUUUUUUUUUUUUUUUAUUUUUAACCUAGAAAUAAAGUUAAGUUAGAGUUAAGGAUUUUGAAACAUUAAAAAUGAAGAAACAUUAUGAAGUUGAAUAAAUACUAUGGAAGCUGUUUUUGCCACACAAAAAAAGGGCUCCUGAAAAACCCCUGCUCAGUAGCGCCACCGUGUUUGCGGAGCCGGCCGGGCGACGCUGGCAGUUCGUCCAAUGGCUGCUCCGGCUUCACGGGUACAUACCCGCUACAACAGCGCAGGAUAUCCACAGACUCCUCUGGUCAGCUCUCGUCGCCUCCCCUGAGCUCCGUGGGUCACCGAGGCAUCAGUAACCAUCCUCUCCACCCGCCUCUGCUCAGCCCUUCCGCCAUGAACUCCAGCCCGGGUCAGCUGCACUCGCCCAUCAGCACCCUCAGCUCGCCCAUCAACGGCUUGCCCUCGCCGUUCCCCGUCAUCAACUCGCCCAUGGGCCACCCCUCCACUAGCAUGACCUUCAGACCCAGCCUGAGCCCACAGCUCAGUUCACCCAUGAAUGCCGUCAGUAGUAGUUCAGAGGACAUUAAACCCCCUCUGGGUCUGAACGGGGUGAUGAAGGUCCCAGCGCAGCCCACAGGCACAUCCCUCUCCCUCACUAAACACAUCUGUGCCAUUUGUGGAGACCGUUCAUCAGGUAAACACUACGGGGUGUACAGCUGUGAGGGCUGUAAGGGCUUCUUCAAGAGAACGGUGAGAAAGGAUUUGACGUACACUUGCAGAGACAACAAGGACUGUAUAAUUGACAAACGCCAACGCAACCGCUGCCAGUACUGCCGCUAUCAGAAGUGCUUAGCCAUGGGAAUGAAGAGAGAAGCCGUUCAGGACGAGCGACAGCGGGCGAAGGAGCGGAGUGAGGCUGAGUUCGGCAGCUGUGCCAAUGAGGACAUGCCCGUGGAGAAGAUUCUGGAAGCCGAACUGGCAGUGGAACCAAAGACGGAGACCUACGUGGAGGCCAACCUGAGUGCGCCUGCCAAUUCUCCUAACGACCCUGUAACAAACAUCUGCCAAGCAGCUGACAAGCAACUCUUUACCUUAGUGGAGUGGGCCAAGCGGAUACCUCACUUUUCUGAUCUCCCGCUGGACGAUCAAGUCAUCCUCCUGAGAGCAGGGUGGAAUGAACUCCUGAUCGCCUCUUUUUCACAUCGUUCUAUAGCUGUGAAAGAUGGGAUAUUAUUAGCCACAGGCCUUCACGUCCAUAGGAACAGUGCACACACUGCCGGUGUGGGAGCCAUCUUUGACAGAGUGCUGACGGAGCUUGUGUCAAAGAUGAGAGACAUGCAAAUGGACAAGACUGAACUUGGAUGCCUGCGGGCCAUUGUUCUGUUCAAUCCAGAUUCAAAAGGACUGUCUAAUCCAUCAGAGGUGGAGGCAUUAAGGGAAAGAGUGUAUGCAUCUCUAGAGGCCUACUGUAAACACAAAUAUCCCGAUCAGCCUGGAUCCUUCAUUAUUUCACUUGCAUAUAAAAAUGAAAGUAAUA